UUCACGAGGAUGCCUAGUAAGCGCAUGUCAUCAGCAUGCGUUGAUUACGUCCCUGCCCUUUGUACACACCGCCCGUCGCUACUACCGAUUGAAUGGCUUAGUGAGGCUUUCGGACUGGCUCAGGGAGGUCGGCAACGACCACCCAGAGCCGGAAAGUUUGUCAAACUACGUCAUUUAGAGGAAGUAAAAGUCGUAACAAGGUUUCCGUAGGUGAACCUGCGGAAGGAUCAUUACCGAGUUGAUUCGGGCUCCGGCCCGAUCCUCCCACCCUUUGUGUACCUACCUCUGUUGCUUUGGCGGGCCGCGGUCCUCCGCGGCCGCCCCCCUCCCCGGGGGGGUGGCCAGCGCCCGCCAGAGGACCAUCAAACUCCAGUCAGUAAACGAUGCAGUCUGAAAAACAUUUAAUAAACUAAAACUUUCAACAACGGAUCUCUUGGUUCUGGCAUCGAUGAAGAACGCAGCGAAAUGCGAUAAGUAAUGUGAAUUGCAGAAUUCAGUGAAUCAUCGAAUCUUUGAACGCACAUUGCGCCCUUUGGUAUUCCGAAGGGCAUGCCUGUUCGAGCGUCAUUACAACCCUCAAGCUCUGCUUGGUAUUGGGCACCGUCCUUUGCGGGCGCGCCUCAAAGACCUCGGCGGUGGCGUCUUGCCUCAAGCGUAGUAGAACAUACAUCUCGCUUCGGAGCGCAGGGCGUCGCCCGCCGGACGAACCUUCUGAACUUGUCUCAAGGUUGACCUCGGAUCAGGUAGGGAUACCCGCUGAACUUAAGCAU
rnacentral:rRNA from 1 species